UAGGCUGCUUUCCUCAAACAACUUUAGCGGGGAGUUGCCAAAAACAUUUGCAAUGCUUACCAAAAUGAAGGACUUUCGGGUUAGUGACAGUCACUUUUCCGGGCAGAUACCUGAUUUUAUUGGGAACUGGACAAAUCUUGAAAAACUAUUGAUUCAGGCUAGCGGUUUGACAGGGCCAAUUCCUUCUGGCAUUUCUCUUUUGACAAG